UCUGAAUCCAACAUCUGGGCAGAGUGGCUGCACCACCUGCUAUUAAAUCACCUUUUCAGAAUUAAGAUGGGCGUGCAUGUCCUGACAUGGAGCUCAUUUUCCGUCAUUCUACUGCUGCUCACUCUGUGUAAAAUCAGCGAUCUAGUCAGUGUGAAGGAACACCUUGCUGACUGCCUGAACGACACCGACUACGCUGAACUGCUGGACACACUGAACACGGGUCUCCCCAGGAUCAACAAGUCCCAUCAUGUUGCUAUAGUC